rnacentral:rRNA from 1 species
AUUGAACGCUGGCGGCAGGCCUAACACAUGCAAGUCGAACGAGUGGCGGACGGGUGAGUAAUGUCUGGGAAACUGCCUGAUGGAGGGGGAUAACUACUGGAAACGGUAGCUAAUACCGCAUACCAUCGGAUGUGCCCAGCUGGGAUUAGCUAGUAGGUGGGGUAAAGGCUCACUUAGGCGACGAUCCCUAGCCGGUCUGAGAGGAAGACCAGCCACACUGGAACUGUGACACGGGCCAGACUCCGACGUGAGGCAGCAGGGGGGAAUAUUGCACAAAGGGCGAAAUCCUGAUUCAGCCAUGCCGCGUGUAUGAAGAAGGCCUUCGGGUUGUAAAGUACUUUCCGCGGGGAGGCGUUACCCGCAGAAGAAGCACCGGCUAACUCCGUGCCAGCAGCCGCGGUAAUAC